rnacentral:misc_RNA from 1 species
AAAGUCGUAACAAGGUUUCCGUAGGUGAACCUGCGGAAGGAUCAUUAACACGUUAUCCACGUAUCAAUCAAACCGUGAACUAUUCUGUUGCAGAAUUUUUGGGUACUUUUAUAUGACUUUAGCCGGUCGCUGUGGAUCAUGGGUGAAUUAGGAUCCACCGGUGGAAGACUAUGGAGUACUCAGGUUCUGCUUAUUUGUCUAUUUACCCGAUCACCUUUUGAAUGCGCGUCUGGAGGUCCCUUCCUGGUUGACACCGACGAAGCAUUCAUAUUUUUCUCUAUUUAUUUUGUGGAGAAUAAGCCGUUUAUCGGCUAGUUCUCUAACACAAACUCUGUAUAACUCUUAGCAACGGAUAUCUUGGCUUCC